CCUUUUUAGCAGUGACGCUUAUGAGAAGCCUUUGUGGCCCAGCAAUGGGUACUAACCGCGACUGUAAACAAAGUAUGUUGGUAUUAAAUCGCAAGUCAACCAAGCUUACCAGCGGGUAACGGUUGGCAACACUUUCGAAUUGCGGGAACACCUUAAAGCCCACACUCCACCAACCGGUUCCAGAGAAAUCUGGCUGGGGCCUGUGCUAAUGACACGGGAUAUGGUAACAGUGAGUUGGGAUAUUUGCAAUAGGUAAUCCGCAGCCAAGUCCCUAAGGUCGGUCAUAACCGGCUAUGGGAAAGGUUCACAGACUAAGUGGAAGUGGGCUACCUCUGCCUGUACAAGGAGGUCAGCUUAAGAUAUAGUCGGGCCUGCCACUAAACCGGUGGGGAGUCACUAAGUGAUGUAAACCGUUCCGUAGGUGAACCUGCGGAAGGAUCAUUAUUAUAACACUCUUUGUGCUUGCGCAAAGUUUUAAACCCACUGUGAACCAAAAAACCUUUAUAGCUUCGGUAGCCUUUGCUGCGGUCUAACCGUUGCAAUGUCAGCCUGCCGGUAGCAACCAAACCAAACUCUUGUUUAAAAAAUCUAGUCUGAACUAAAAUUUUCGAAUGAAAAUUAAAACUUUCAACAACGGAUCUCUUGGUUCUCGCAUCGAUGAAGAACGCAGCGAAACGCGAUAGUUAAUGUGAAUUGCAGAAUUCAGUGAAUCAUCGAGUCUUUGAACGCACAUUGCGCCCCUUGGUAUUCCGAAGGGCAUGUCUGUUUGAGCGUCAUUACAACACUUCGUUAACAAAAUUUUUGUUUGGUAACGGUUAUGGGUGCGGUAUGUGUACCAGGCCUAACGGUCUCUUGCACGCCCUGCCUUAAAUUCUUUACCAAAGAAUGUUCUGCAAGCCGGACUUUGAAAACUUUACGUAGUAGUAUCAACAAAUCGUUCAGUGAUAGAAGUGCGUGCCUGCCUGAAAAACAAUGUAUUUGACCUCUCUAGGUUUGACCUCAGAUCAGACAAGGAUACCCGCUGAACUUAAGCAUAUCAAUAAGCGGAGGAAAAGAAACCAACAGGGAUUGCCUCAGUAACGGCGAGUGAAGCGGCAACAGCUCAAAUUUGAAAUCUGAGACUUUUAGUUUCCGAGUUGUAAUUUGAAGAGGAUGUUUCGGUUGUAACCAUGGCCUAAGUUCCUUGGAACAGGACGUCGUAGAGGGUGAGAAUCCCGUACACGGCUGAUGGUUUACUUCCAUGUGUAACUCCUUCGAAGAGUCGAGUUGUUUGGGAAUGCAGCUCAAAAUGGGUGGUAAAUUUCAUCUAAAGCUAAAUACUGGCGAGAGACCGAUAGCGCACAAGUAGAGUGAUCGAAAGAUGAAAAGCACUUUGAAAAGAGAGUUAAACAGUACGUGAAAUUGUUGAAAGGGAAGCGUUUGCAAUCAGACUUGCUUUCGGUUGAUCAAGGUUCCUUCUGGUUCCUGCACUCUGCCGUUCGCAGGCCAGCAUCGGUUAGGGCGGUGGGACAAAGACUCUGAGAAUGUGGCUCUCUUCGGGGAGUGUUAUAGCUCAGUGUGUAAUGCCAUCAGCUCCUGACCGAGGUCCGCGCUUUUUGCUAGGAUGCUGGCUUAAUGGUUGUAAACGACCCGUCUUGAAACACGGACCAAGGAGUCUAACAUCUAUGCGAGUGUUUGGGUGUCAAACCCAUACGCGUAAUGAAAGUGAACGGAGGUGGGAGUUUUAUUAUGCACCAUCGACCGAUCCUGAUGUUCUCGGAUGGAUUUGAGUAGGAGCAUAGCUGUUGGGACCCGAAAGAUGGUGAACUAUGCCUGAAUAGGGUGAAGCCAAAGGAAACUUUGGUGGAGGCUCGCAGCGGUUCUGACGUGCAAAUCGAUCGUCAAAUUUGGGUAUAGGGGCGAAAGACUAAUCGA
rnacentral:rRNA from 1 species